rnacentral:rRNA from 1 species
GACGAACGCUGGCGGCGUGCUUAACACAUGCAAGUCGAACGGUAAGGCUCCAGCUUGCUGGGGUACACGAGUGGCGAACGGGUGAGUAACACGUGGGUGACCUGCCCUGCACUUCGGGAUAAGCCUGGGAAACUGGGUCUAAUACCGGAUAGGACCGCACCGUGAGGGUGUGGUGGAAAGUUUUUUCGGUGUGGGAUGGGCCCGCGGCCUAUCAGCUUGUUGGUGGGGUAAUGGCCUACCAAGGCGGCGACGGGUAGCCGGCCUGAGAGGGUGGACGGCCACAUUGGGACUGAGACACGGCCCAGACUCCUACGGGAGGCAGCAGUGGGGAAUAUUGCACAAUGGGCGGAAGCCUGAUGCAGCGACGCCGCGUGGGGGACGACGGCCUUCGGGUUGUAAACUCCUUUCACCAUCGACGAAGGGUUUCUGACGGUAGAUGGAGAAGAAGCACCGGCUAACUACGUGCCAGCAGCCGCGGUAAUACGUAGGGUGCGAGCGUUGUCCGGAAUUACUGGGCGUAAAGAGCUCGUAGGUGGUUUGUCGCGUCGUCUGUGAAAUUCCGGGGCUUAACUCCGGGCGUGCAGGCGAUACGGGCAUAACUUGAGUACUGUAGGGGAGACUGGAAUUCCUGGUGUAGCGGUGAAAUGCGCAGAUAUCAGGAGGAACACCGGUGGCGAAGGCGGGUCUCUGGGCAGUAACUGACGCUGAGGAGCGAAAGCAUGGGGAGCGAACAGGAUUAGAUACCCUGGUAGUCCAUGCCGUAAACGGUGGGCGCUAGGUGUGGGUUUCCUUCCACGGGAUCCGUGCCGUAGCUAACGCAUUAAGCGCCCCGCCUGGGGAGUACGGCCGCAAGGCUAAAACUCAAAGGAAUUGACGGGGGCCCGCACAAGCGGCGGAGCAUGUGGAUUAAUUCGAUGCAACGCGAAGAACCUUACCUGGGCUUGACAUAUACAGGAUCGCGCCAGAGAUGGUGUUUCCCUUGUGGCUUGUAUACAGGUGGUGCAUGGUUGUCGUCAGCUCGUGUCGUGAGAUGUUGGGUUAAGUCCCGCAACGAGCGCAACCCUUGUCUUAUGUUGCCAGCACGUUGUGGUGGGGACUCGUAAGAAACUGCCGGGGUUAACUCGGAGGAAGGUGGGGAUGACGUCAAAUCAUCAUGCCCCUUAUGUCCAGGGCUUCACACAUGCUACAAUGGUCGGUACAGUGGGUUGCCAGUCCGUGAGGGCGAGCUAAUCCCGCAAAGCCGGUCUCAGUUCGGAUCGGGGUCUGCAACUCGACCCCGUGAAGUCGGAGUCGCUAGUAAUCGCAGAUCAGCAACGCUGCGGUGAAUACGUUCCCGGGCCU